rnacentral:lncRNA from 1 species
GGUCUCCCAAUAAUUGAGAAAACUAGGCCAACACUUCCUUUUCUUGACCAAAAUCUAAAUGUAAGUACCACCAUUAAGGUUAUAUUGUUUCCUUUUUCUUUUCUAUUUCUACAACUCGUAUUCUCCUCCUCUUUUAUUCUGACUCAUAUUUUCGUUCAUUUUUGUCGAUUCGUUGAAGGCCGACUUGCAGUGUCUUCCCGGUUAGACCUUCUGUGAUUUGGUAAAAUUUAUUGAUAUACAUAUUGUUACAGAUAAUUGUGGUAUUUGCAUGAAUCUUAUUAUAGACCUUUAUUAGUGCUCGAAGUUUUUGUUAGAAUUUAUAGUUUUUAUGAAUUUAUGUUCUUUA